rnacentral:rRNA from 1 species
CCCUUAGAUGUUCUGGGCCGCACGCGCGCUACACUGUUCGACGCAGCGAGUCUUAACCUUGACCGAAAGGUUUGGGUAAUCUUCAGCAAAGUCGAACGUGAUGGGGAUCGAUCAUUGCAAUUAUUGAUCGUGAACGAGGAAUUCCUAGUAAGUGCAAGUCAUCAGCUUGCGCUGAUUACGUCCCUGCCCUUUGUACACACCGCCCGUCGCUACUACCGAUUGAAUGGUCUAGUGAGAUCUCUGGAUUGACGCUGGCUAGGGGGCGACCCUUGGCCAGGCUGUCGAGAAACUGCUCAAACUUGAUCAUUUAGAGGAAGUAAAAGUCGUAACA